GAGUUUGAUCCUGGCUCAGAUUGAACGCUAGCGGGAUGCUUUACACAUGCAAGUCGAACGGCAGCGCGAACUUCGGUUUGGCGGCGAGUGGCGAACGGGUGAGUAAUAUAUCGGAACGUACCCAGUAGCGGGGGAUAACUACUCGAAAGAGUAGCUAAUACCGCAUACGCCCUACGGGGGAAAGGGGGGGAUCGCAAGACCUCUCACUAUUGGAGCGGCCGAUAUCGGAUUAGCUAGUUGGUGGGGUAAAGGCUCACCAAGGCGACGAUCCGUAGCUGGUUUGAGAGGACGACCAGCCACACUGGGACUGAGACACGGCCCAGACUCCUACGGGAGGCAGCAGUGGGGAAUUUUGGACAAUGGGGGAAACCCUGAUCCAGCCAUCCCGCGUGUGCGAUGAAGGCCUUCGGGUUGUAAAGCACUUUUGGCAGGAAAGAAAUCGCAUGGGUUAAUAACCUGUGUGGAUGACGGUACCUGCAGAAUAAGCACCGGCUAACUACGUGCCAGCAGCCGCGGUAAUACGUAGGGUGCAAGCGUUAAUCGGAAUUACUGGGCGUAAAGCGUGCGCAGGCGGUUCGG
rnacentral:rRNA from 1 species